rnacentral:rRNA from 1 species
UACGUAGGGUGCGAGCGUUAAUCGGAAUUACUGGGCGUAAAGUGUGCGCAGGCGGCCGAGCAAGUCGAGUGUGAAAGCCCCGAGCUUAACUUGGGAACUGCGCUCGAAACUACUUGGCUGGAGUGUGGCAGAGGAAGGUGGAAUUCCACGUGUAGCGGUGAAAUGCGUAGAGAUGUGGAGGAACACCGGUGGCGAAGGCGGCAUCCUGGACCGACAUUGACGCUGAACGGCGAAAGCUAGGGGAGCAAACGGG